UGGCCCGUGGUGUAAGGGAAACACAGACGUCCCUCAAACGUGAGAUCCCGGUUCGAAUCCGGGCGGGCCAG
rnacentral:tRNA from 1 species